UACGAAGGGGGCGAGCGUUGUUCGGAUUUACUGGCGUAAAGCGUGCGCAGGCGGUUUUGUAAGCCAGAUGUGAAAUCCCCGGGCUUAACCUGGGAAUGGCAUUUGGGACUGCAAGGCUUGAGUGCGGCAGAGGAGACUGGAAUUCCUGGUGUAGCAGUGAAAUGCGUAGAUAUCAGGAGGAAUACCGAUGGCGAAGGCAGGUCUCUGGGCUGACACUGACGCUCAUGCACGAAAGCGUGGGGAGCAAACAGG
rnacentral:rRNA from 1 species